UGGGGAAUAUUGCACAAUGGGCGCAAGCCUGAUGCAGCCAUGCCGCGUGUGUGAAGAAGGCCUUCGGGUUGUAAAGCACUUUCAGCGGGGAGGAAGGCGUUAAGGUUAAUAACCUUGGCGAUUGACGUUACCCGCAGAAGAAGCACCGGCUAACUCCGUGCCAGCAGCCGCGGUAAUACGGAGGGUGCAAGCGUUAAUCGGAAUUACUGGGCGUAAAGCGCACGCAGGCGGUCUGUCAAGUCGGAUGUGAAAUCCCCGGGCUCAACCUGGGAACUGCAUUCGAAACUGGCAGGCUAGAGUCUUGUAGAGGGGGGUAGAAUUCCAGGUGUAGCGGUGAAAUGCGUAGAGAUCUGGAGGAAUACCGGUGGCGAAGGCGGCCCCCUAGACAAAGACUGACGCUCAGGUGCGAAAGCGUGGGGAGCAAACAGG
rnacentral:rRNA from 1 species